GCGUGCGGGAAGAAGGCCUUCGGGUUGUAAACCGCUUUUGUCAGGGAAGAAAUCUUCUGAGUUAAUACCUCGGGAGGAUGACGGUACCUGAAGAAUAAGCACCGGCUAACUACGUGCCAGCAGCCGCGGUAAUACGUAGGGUGCAAGCGUUAAUCGGAAUUACUGGGCGUAAAGCGUGCGCAGGCGGUUAUGCAAGACAGAUGUGAAAUCCCCGGGCUCAACCUGGGAACUGCAUUUGUGACUGCAUAGCUGGAGUGCGGCAGAGGGGGAUGGAAUUCCGCGUGUAGCAGUGAAAUGCGU
rnacentral:rRNA from 1 species